rnacentral:misc_RNA from 1 species
AAGAAGUGGUGAACAGACAUAAUGAAUUUCAAAAGCCUCAAGCCAAUGCCUUCAUUGAUAUGUUUGUUACUGGACUUGCUAGUUACAAUGGUCAAAAAUGGGAUCACCAUAGAAAGAUACUAAACCCGGCUUUUCAUAUAGAGAAGAUUAAGAGGUUGUACCCAGCAUUUUGCGAGUGUUGUGAUGAAAUGAUAAAUAGAUGGGAGGACUUGGUUAGCAAAACUGGAAGUUGUGAAUUGGAUGUAGCAGAUGAAUUUCUAAAUGUAGGUGGAGAUGUUAUAUCGAGAGCUGCUUUUGGUAGCAAUAUUGAAGAAGGAAGGACUAUUUUCAUACUUCAGAAAGAGCAGUGCGAUCUUAUUUUGGCUUCUCCAUUUACUCUCUUCUUUCCCUUACUAAGAUUCUUUCCAACAGAAUCAAACAGAAGAGCAAGAUACAUCUACAAAAAAGUGUUAUCAUUGAUCAAAG